rnacentral:misc_RNA from 1 species
GCAAACUUGGUCAUUUAGAGGAAGUAAAAGUCGUAACAAGGUUUCCGUAGGUGAACCUGCGGAAGGAUCAUUAUAGAGUGGUAAACCCCCCGUAAAAGGGGGGGACCUCCUGUCCUUUGUAGGCUCCUUUUUUUUUUAAAGGGCUUUUUUAAAUUUUUCUGCUUCGGUGGGGUUAUCCCACCGGAACAACCUCAAAACUCUGAUCAAAAAAUUGUUCUGUCUGAGGACCUUUUAUAAUAAAAAAAACUUUCAACAACGGAUCUCUUGGUUCUGGCAUCGAUGAAGAACGCAGC